GGACCCGCACAAGUAGUGGAGCAUGUGGUUUAAUUCGAAGAUACGCGCAGAACCUUACCAACACUUGACAUGUUCGUCGCGACUCUAAGAGAUUAGAGUUUUCGGUUCGGCCGGACGAAACACAGGUGCUGCAUGGCUGUCGUCAGCUCGUGUCGUGAGAUGUUGGGUUAAGUCCCGCAACGAGCGCAACCCACGUCUUUAGUUGCCAGCAUUUAGUUGGGCACUCUAGAGAGACUGCCGGUGAUAAGCUGGAGGAAGGUGGGGAUGACGUCAAGUCCUCAUGGCCCUUACGUGUUGGGCUACACACGUGCUACAAUGGUAUCUACAACAGGAAGCAAGACUGCGAAGUUAAGCAAAUCCUUAAAAGAUACCUCAGUUCGGAUUGCACUCUGCAACUCGAGUGCAUGAAGCUGGAAUUACUAGUAAUCG
rnacentral:rRNA from 1 species